rnacentral:lncRNA from 1 species
GGGCGGCACGGCAGAGGGGCUGUGGGUGGCCGCACCUCGGGGCCCCAGGGUCGGACACGGCGGGUUCUGCAGCUGCGUCCGGGGUCAGGGGUACUGGGUGCAGCUGGGGAAUCACUCUUCAUCCCACCAAGUGCCCCCGAGGGUGCCGCUCUCAGGCACUGAGCCAGGCUCGGGAGAGGGCCCUGAACAAGCCAGGGAAGGGGUCUGCGACCUUGGCGAGGGCGUCCCACCACUACCCAAACGUGGACACACACGCCCCAUGGAGAAGACGCUAAAUUCGGCUUUUCUGUUUCCCUUCCUCGCCGCAGAGAGCAGGUGCAGCCCUGCCCUGGCAUGGCUCUACUCAGCCAGAAGACGGGCACAGGCUGGCACGUCUGCUUCUCUCCAGGGCCUUCCCGAGCUGAACGCAGGGUCCUCUCCACUCACUGCUGCGGCCGCCACCCCCCUCAGGAUCAGAUACUUGGAAAUCCAUAGUACCAUACAUGGAACACCAGAGAAGUGAUGUUCGUACCCAACUCUUGCCAUCGUCACUGCCUAUGAGAAACCAGGGCCAGAGAGCCUUGGCUCGCUCAGGUGGACUUCUCUCAUAAUGAGUGAAGAUCCUGCUUCACUCAGCAAGGCCUAUGGGAAUUCUGUUCAUACUAGAAGAUGGUUGUCUCCAUGAAGUCUUCUGGGUUUCCCCAGUGAAGUUAAUUUCUUCCUCUUUUGAUCUGACAUCACAUUUAAUUUUUCUCCUGUAGACUCUUUCACAUGCUUUGUCAUUAACUGCAGACACACUUGACUCCUCCAGAGUCUAUGAGCUCUGUGAAGGCAGGGUUAUGUCUUUAUUUUAGUUAGCCCUUGU